rnacentral:lncRNA from 1 species
CCCUCCAUCAGAUCCCUCCAGUCAUGAACCUCCCAGUCAAUUUCCCUCCCAAUCAGAACCUCCAGUAGUCAGAUCCCUCCCCAGUCAGAUCCCUCCCAGUCAGUAUCCCGCCUAUUUCAGAUCCCUCCCAGUCAGAUCCCUCCCAGUCAGAUCCCUCCCAGUCAGAUCCCUCCCAGUCAGAAUCCCUCCUAGCAGAUCCUCCCAAUCAGAUCCCUCCCAUUCAGAUCCCUCCCAGGUCAGAUACCUCCCACUCAUAUCCCUCCAGUUCAGAUCCCUCCCAGUCUGAUCCCCCCCAGUCAGAUCCCUUCCAGUCCGAUCCCUCUCCGUCAGACCCUUCCAGUCAGACCCCUCCAGUCAGAUCCCUCCCAGUUCAGAUCCCUCCAGUCAGAU